GCCAGGGACCAGCAGCACUGCUCUGUGCUCUGGGGACGUGCCAUGCUGUCACCACGCUCAGGUGUGCAGAGCCAGCUGCCAUCCAUGCUGUCAUAUCAGAAAAAAUUCAGAAUUAAAGCCACAUCAAGCCCAAGGUGUGCUGGAAUGGGCUUAGAUAAAUAUCGUUCAAAUCAUGGAGUCUGAUUCGUGAGUCAGGACCAUGGCAGCCCUCCAAAACCUCCUGCCCAUGGAGUGUGUUUGUGUGAGAGGGAGAGAGAGUUUCACUGCAUGAAGAGUAAGAAACUGGAAGCCAAGUGAAUUAAAUACAAAGCAGAUAAUUAUGUGUAAUUCAUUUACUGACUAAUGAUUGCACCUUGGUAUGGAGGUUCAUGAAUUCAUUUGACUCUGCAAGGUUCUCAAGAACAAUCUCCCUGCUACAAGAUAAGAGCUGGCUGACUUGUUAACAGACCAGUGUUUACAUUAGUGUUAUUGUAAGAUUCUGCCUUUUUGGCUCAUUUCACAUUUUACCUCACGGCCAUUCACUUUUCCUGGGUCCAUCUGGUGUCUCUGACAGUUUCAAUAGCUCAGUGCUGGUCAAGGCUGGCUGUCACUGCAGACUGAAGGCAUCAUCUGCUCCUGGGAGCAAUCACACACAGCUCUUCUCUCCUGUCUGCUGCAGCCAAACCUUGCCAUGGAGACUGUGACUUUGGCAGGGGAUCAGCAGGUCACAGCCCCCUUUCCCCAGUGCUGGUGUCCCUGGCACUCUUCCUGGUGUCACCCACUGGCCACUGCAGCCUGA
rnacentral:lncRNA from 1 species